rnacentral:rRNA from 1 species
AUUGAACGCUGGCGGCAUGCUUUACACAUGCAAGUCGAACGGUAACAGGCCGCAAGGUGCUGACGAGUGGCGAACGGGUGAGUAAUGCAUCGGAACGUGCCCAGUCGUGGGGGAUAACGCAGCGAAAGCUGCGCUAAUACCGCAUACGAUCUAUGGACGAAAGCGGGGGACCGUAAGGCCUCGCGCGAGUGGAGCGGCCGAUGUCAGAUUAGGUAGUUGGUGGGGUAAAGGCUCACCAAGCCAACGAUCUGUAGCUGGUCUGAGAGGACGACCAGCCACACUGGGACUGAGACACGGCCCAGACUCCUACGGGAGGCAGCAGUGGGGAAUGUUGGACAAUGGGCGCAAGCCUGAUCCAGCAAUGCCGCGUGCAGGAAGAAGGCCUUCGGGUUGUAAACUGCUUUUGUACGGAACGAAACGGUCCUGGUUAAUCCCUGGGGCUAAUGACGGUACCGUAAGAAUAAGCACCGGCUAACUACGUGCCAGCAGCCGCCGUAAGAC